UCCCGUGCUGAUCAGUAGUGGGA
rnacentral:piRNA from 2 species